AUACGGAGGGGGCUAGCGUUGUUCGGAAUUACUGGGCGUAAAGCGCGCGUAGGCGGUCCGCGUAGUCAGGCGUGAAAGCCCCGGGCUCAACCUGGGAACUGCGUUUGAUACUGGCGGGCUAGAGUCCGGGAGAGGGUAGUGGAAUUCCCAGUGUAGAGGUGAAAUUCGUAGAUAUUGGGAAGAACACCGGUUGCGAAGGCGGCUACCUGGACCGGUACUGACGCUGAGGUGCGAAAGCGUGGGGAGCAAACAGGAUUAGAAACCCCGGUAGUCC
rnacentral:rRNA from 1 species